UCUUGGCACCACACACCUUAAGGGCACCUCCUCAGUCUUGGCCUUGCUGUCCCCUUGCCAGCCCCGUGCCCACCUCAGCUGAGUGCUGUCCUCAGAUAUCAAGGCUGUGGGGCAGGGGGAGGGCCCUGUGCAGGUGCCUGGGCCACCACCCCACCCAAGGCCCAAGGGAGCAGCAAGGGUGAGGGGCAGAGCCGAGUGCAACCACUGCCCCUUGGUAGGCACAUGGAGGCCCCUGGCAGGCCCCAGCUUCUGGCUCUGGGUUUUGGUUUCCCUGCCCAGCCCCAAGCAGGCUUUGAAAAGACUGUGGACGCCCACCCUUCCUUCCAUCCAGGCCCAGGCUUCUCAGGCCAGGCGGCAGGGCCAGCUGGGCCUCCCCUGCUCCAGGAUUCCGGCCCUUUGUUCCUGCCCAGGAUGCACCUGGUGGCCUCUGGCCCUCAUUGUUUGCUCUGGGGCCAGCUGACCUGCAACAGGAGCAAGACAUGCCAGGCCCAGGACAAGCAGCCGAGGUCCUGCAAAGGCAGAAGAGUCGUGGAGAAAGUGAUCUCCGAGUCACUGGCCACCAUUGCAGGUGCAGGGGCAGCCCCCUCCUCCCAUUCACCCCCACCCACUCAAGAUGUUCACCCCACCCGGUAUCUGCUUCUCGGUGUCAGGACAAACAGCAACUGGAUAGCAACCUGGCCUUGGGAAUGAUCAGUGUAGAUGGGGAAGCAGGCCCCAAGGGGAGUAGAACCCCAGGGUGGGCACACAGUCCUCUGCAGCCCCUCACACUGGGGCUGGCCACUCAUCAUCCUGAUGGCUCUACACCACCUGCCUGCUCUUCCUGUGCCCUCAGCCCUGUGACCCGCCAGGCCUCUGCAUCCCAGGUCAGAGAGGGUGCCUGAUAGGAGGGCUUAGGAGGGGGCCCCUGCUUUGCAGAGGUGGAAAUGGCCCAGCACAUCACAAGUGUUGGUGGCUGACCUGGGGAGGACCCAUGUGCCCCGACCCCUCCUCAACGCUCAUCCUGGCAGAAGCCUCUGGUGCAACGUGGCCGCGUGAUGGCCUGUCCUUCCCCUCGGGGCACAUAUGCUUCCUGCCUGGUGGGUGCCUGCCGGGGCCCUUAUCUGCCUUCCAGAGCUCAGAUCCCAAGACUGCAGACCCUCUGCCACCCCCUCCUCACACACAUGAGGGUGUGGAGACCAAGGCCAGCUUUCAGCACCUGCUCUGGGCCUGGCUAUGGCCAGUCUCUCCACACCCAUCCCACUGCCUCACAGCAUGCUGCUCCCUGACGCACUCCCAGCCUGAGGGGCCGGUCAGGCCAGGAAAGUGGAGUCCUCUCCUGUGCCCAGACCAGCCUCCUGUAGAAGCCCAGUAAAGUCCAGACCUAUUGGGGUUAGAGCUCUUGCCGUAAUCGAGCCCUGCAUCUCAGCAACCCAGGAGUCUGUCCUCAUCCACCCGACGUACAGGGCAGUGGCUGCCAGUAUGUUGAGAUCGGUUCUGUCUGCCCCAGUUCCUCAACUAGGGGACAACCUAAAAUAGAUGCCAGGCUAUCCCAAGACUGCAGGAAGUGCUGGCCCUGGGGGUCUUCGGCCACAGACCUGGCCAGCCUCAGGGCUGCUGGGGCAGGGCAUGGCACCUAGGCCCAGGACCGAAGCCCCUUAAGGGUAUUGGAGGGGUGUGGGGGUUCCUUCUGGGAUCUCUCCUCUCCCCCUGGAAUCUCACAGCUUUCCCCUUCCAAUUUAGCCUCCCCUCAGAGAUUCUGGAACUUUCUCUGAGUCGAGGUAGAAAUGAUGCCCUCCCCAGAGGUGCUGCCCUGGGGAGCAGGAAAGCCAGCUCUGCAUUGAGGGGAGCUGCAUUGUACAGGGCCUGCAGGCCCCCAGCAGGUCAGUAACUCAGCUACAGAAGGAUCGCCUCAGGGCCACCCUAGUUAGCAUAAGGCAGCUGCACCGCAGGCGGGAGGGACAGAGGAUCUAAGAGGGACGGAGGAUCUAGGAGUGACCGCACCACCUGGGGUAGCAGCUAAGGGGCCUGUGCUGCCUGGUUGAGGUUUAGGUGUGCUGGUAGGCAGGGGGGACCCCUGCUAAUGCGUGGAGCGGCCCUGCAGGCUCCACGGACGCUGGCUGGCCAUUACGACAGAACCCCCUCUACAUGGCAGAGGACACAGCGCUGGGGCUGCUGAGCAGGGAAGAGCUGAGUCCAAGCCCGGUCUUGCCUGUCCUUCCACACCCAGCCCCCAGCUCUACAGCUGUUGCCUGCUGCCCACCCCGGGGAGCCUGAGCACCUGCACGCCACAGCUCAACUCCUGGAUUACUUAGGGGCACGGCAGUUGCUGGGCCCCCAACCCCUGGGAGUCUCCGUCUGGGAAGGGCACUCACCACAGGCCCUUGUGUGCAGGAGACAGGACUGCCAUGGGCCCUUUUGCAUGUGACCUGGGCAAGGUAGUAAGUGUUCUCCAGGCCACGCUCAGUGCAUUCACAAUCACUGUAGUGGCUCACACCUGUAAUCCCAAGGCUCUGGGAGACGGAGGGAGGAGGACUGCUUGAAGACCAGUUUGGGGAACAUGGUAAAAGCCUAUCUGUACAAAAAAAAUAAAGAAGAAAAAAAUAGGGCAUGGUGGCUCACGCCUGUAAUCCCAGCACUCUGGGAGGCCCGCAGGCCCCCAGCAGGUCAGUAACUCAGCUACAGAAGGAUCCCCUCAGGGCCACCCUAGUCAGCAUAAGGCAGCUGCACCGCAGGCAGGAGGGACAGAGGAUCUAAGAGGGACAGAGGAUCUAGGAGUGACCGCACCACCUGGGGUAGCGGCUAAGGGGCCUGUGCGAGUGGAUAACCUGAGGUCAGGAGUUCGAGACCAGCCUGACCAAAAUGGAGAAACUCCAUCCUACCAUACAUACAGAAUUAGCCAGGUGUGGUGGCACAUGCCUGUAAUCCCAGCUACUCGGGAUGCUGAGGCAGGAGAAUAACUUGAAACUGGGAGGCAGAAACUGUGGUGAGCUUUCACCAUUUCACUCCAGCUUGGGCAACAAGAGCGAAACUCCAACUCCAAAAAAAAAAAAAAAAGAAAAAAAAAAUUGCUGGACAUGGUAGCGUACACCUGUAGUACCAGCUACUCAGGAGGCUGAGGCAGGAUGAUUGCUUGAGCCCCGAAGUCAAGGCUGUGGUGAACCAUAAUCAACAAAAACCAACAAAAAAACAAUGCACAGAAAAAAAGGUUUAUCUGGGUGCCUCUGGGUAGUAUAAUUGUUUUCUUCUUUAUUUUAUACAUCCUGACAAUUAUUUCCAAGAUGAUACAUGCCUAAAUACAAAACCCCUCCAGACACACUCCCCUGUACCUGGGGAAGGCAUGUGUCUGGGCUAUGCAGGGAGCUUCCAUUCUCCUGGGGGCAGCUCUGCCAGGAUCUCUGGGGUCUUGGCAUCUGUCACAGAACCCCAGGGGUUACAAGGCUCACCACCCCAAGGGCACCUCUGAGCCACAUGGUGAUAUACUGUGGCCCAGGGGAGGCCACUCUGGACUCUGGGUUAGGAUCUUCCCAUGAGAGGAAGUGCACCUAGGGGUGGGGCCGCAGGCUGGCUCAGAGGUGCCCUUUUCUAUACAGCCGGUUCCAGGAGGCAGUUGGGUUCUGGUUUAUUCAAUGUCAGAGGGACAUAAGGGAGGGGAGGGCAAGCUAGAAAAGCCCAAGCUGGUUGUUUCAGCCAUUUUAAUACAUUCAAGAAUACUUAUUAGAACAACAUUUAAAAGUAUUGUCAGUCAGCAGAAGCCUGGAAUUAAGAGAAAUAGAAAUGCGACUGGCCCUUUUGCAGUAAAGCUUGUGCUUGAAGAAGAGGCAAACUGGUUCCUGGAGGCUUCAUGCCACGUGCCGUAGGACUGAGAGCAUCUCCAAAUGUCACUUUAAACAUGUGUGACCAUCUAUAGUCAUUGCUAAAGCCCAGUGUUCCAAGGAUCCUACUAAGACAAGGCAAAAGGUACCCUCACCUGCAGAUCUGCAUGCAAACCUUCCCCAGGGAGGGGCCCGAUCAAAGCCUCCAGACAGGCAGGGCCAGGCCCUCCCCGUGCCCAUCCUCUUUCCCUGUAACUGACCCCAAGGCCUGAUGCUGGAUCCAGGAGACUCCCAGAUGGAAAACACAGAUAUAGCCCAUCCAUCCAUGGCCACCUUCCUCCAGAGGAUCCCGGGAACGCCCCGACACCCCCAUCCCAUGAGGCACCAGGGCUGUGCUCACAUGGCCAGCAAGGGAUCAAGUUGGUAACUGCAACUUGGGGAAAUCCCCUCAUUCUUAGCGCAAAAUAGCCCCCAAGGACACAAUAAAUAAACAAAACCAUGACCAGACACCUGGAUGCGGACAGGUGGACUGGCUCUGUGAAGGCAAAUGAGAGCACAAGCAGGAACUGAGGACACCUAAGUGGAGAGACAAUUAAAAACAGUAAUUCUCAUACGAACAUCAGUCACUCACGCUGACAGCAGAGCUGGCCAUCAGCAGAGCAACAGCAACUCAGACAGAGGGCACUGGCCCAGGUGUCUGCAGGGGUCUCUGGUAUGCUCUGUGGUGUGACUUUGCUUCCCUGACUUCUGCUUUCUUAGCUGAAAACAGGCAUUUCACCAAAGGGUGCAGCCAGUGGCAGCAGCCUGAGCUCCCAGGCUGACAUGUGGGUAGGGCUGAUGGGCAGCUCCUGGCCAUCUGGUGUCGGUGUGCUGGCAGCUGCACCCACACAAACUGCCCCUUUUUUCAUAACCACACUUUCCUAGGCUACACGAACAUGUUAAACUUCUAGUCUAGAACAUCAUACUUGAAUGCACACCCCUCAGCCCACGAUUGGGUUGGCCAGGCCUCCUGGAAGCCCCUCAUUGCAUCUAGUUUGUGGGGCAGUGACCCCGCUUCCACUGGUGGCUGGUCUUCCUUGUGGUGCUCCGCAGAUGACAAACACCGUUGUAUUCUUGAAGCUACAGGUCUUGUCUGGACAUUGUUCAAACCAACAGUUACCGCAUUAGGCACACAGGAGAUCCCUAUUCCCAGAAAGAGCUGUUGAGUCCCAGCCUGAAAGCAUCUCCAGUGACCACCUUUAAAUAAGGCUUUGGUUCAAACAGCAUGGACCCAGUACCUGGGGAAGGUGGGUGUGUGGGGCACGGACCCAGUACCUGGGGAACGCAUGUGUGGGGGGCACGGACCCAGUACCUGGGCAAGGCGGGUGUGGGGGGCAUGGACCCAGUACUGGGGAACGCAGGUGUGGGGGGCAACCCAGUACCUGGGGAAGGUCGGGCAAGGUGGUGGGAGACAACUCAACCACUGAGCCCUGAACGAGGUCCUGCCUUGGCCAUGGAGGGCAGCGGCUGCCCUCACAAGAAGAGUUAAGGCACUUUCUUCAACUCUGGCCUAGGAGGAUGAAGCGCCUCAGUGACUGUAAUGACAGUGCCUGGGCUCCCUAAAGUUGUUUACUUUUCUCCUAUUUCCUGCUUCAUUCCUUGCUCUCACCAUGCUAAUGUACAGAUCUUGUGUUUAGAUUUCUAUGCUUAUAUAUGUAACUUUGGUACUAAGAGAACAGAAGCAACUUUUUCCAAUAUUGCUCAUAACAAAACAAAAAUCUUAACUGGAAAAACUCCUUAUGAUGAGGAAAUCUAAAGCCAGAGCUGGGACUCCAAACCCUGUCCAGGAUGGAAGACAGGUGGCAGAGCCCAGGCAAGGGGACCCUGCAACUGCCUCCUGUCAGAAAGCCCAGCCGCGGGAGUGCAGCGGCAGCACCCCCAGCCCUGGAGUGCCUGCACUGCACCCUCUAGAUGCUCUGCUAGCUCAUGCUGAAAACGCCUGGAUUAUGUCGGCCAGGAUAGCCCUUGUCAGGUGUGGGGUAGCUGACCCACAUCUGUGGUGACAAGCUCCUCCAAACUAGGAUCGUGAAGGGUCCAGGGCGCUGGGAAACACCAGGCGCUGGCUGACUUUCCUUCUGGGUUCUCACCAGCACGGAACCCACCCUGGCCAACAGUCAGGAAGCGCCACGACCGAGCCUUCAUCAACCCCAGUGAGUUUCCCACAGAACUGAAUCCCCUUUCCCAAGCUGAGCUGUGUGCAUCAGCCCUUUUUGUUUGGUGCCCUGGAGCACUAGUGUAGUUCAGUAUUCUCUUCAGAAGGAAAACUUCAGCAGCCACUGGCCUUUGGGAUGUGUGCUGAGCCCACAUGACCUGAAUGGAUGGGUCAUGUGGGAGGGACCCCAGCGGGAGCUGUGGGCCACACGGCUGAGUUCUGCCAAUACAGAAGCCCCAAGCUAGAGGCUCACACUGCGGGGCAGCCCAGAGUUGCUGGAAGCUUUACAGGGGUGCGUAGCUAAUGGCGUUGGUGUCGCUCGGUCACUGUGGAGGGUCCC